rnacentral:rRNA from 1 species
UUCAAUUGGAGAGUUUGAUCCUGGCUCAGAACGAACGCUAGCGGCGUGCCUAACACAUGCAAGUCGAACGAGAAAGGGUUCUUCGGAGCCUGAGUAAAGUGGCGGACGGGUGAGUAACACGUGAGUAACCUGCCCUCAGGAUAGGGAUAACAUCUCGAAAGGGAUGCUAAUACCUAGUAUGACCACAGAAACAAAAGUUUCAGGGGUAAAAGGUGGCCUCUGGUUAAUCAUUAGCCAUUAUGGCAAGUGAAAGACCAAGCUGCUGCCUGAGGAGGGGCUCGCGGACCAUUAGCUAGUUGGGAGGGUAAUGGCCUACCAAGGCGACGAUGGUUAGCUGGUCUGAGAGGAUGAUCAGCCACACUGGGACUGAGAUACGGCCCAGACUCCUACGGGAGGCAGCAGUGGGGAAUAUUGCGCAAUGGGGGAAACCCUGACGCAGCAACGCCGCGUGGGUGAUGAAGGCCUUCGGGUCGUAAAACCCUGUCAGGCAGGAAGAAUACCAAAUAAGUGAAGAGCUUAUUUGUUUGACGGUACUGCCAGAGGAAGCCCCGGCUAACUCCGUGCCAGCAGCCGCGGUAAUACGGAGGGGGCUAGCGUUGUUCGGAAUUAUUGGGCGUAAAGAGCGCGUAGGUGGUUGGGUAAGUCAGACGUGAAAUCCCCUGGCUCAACCAGGGAAGGGCGUCUGAAACUGCUUAACUUGAGUGCGGUAGAGGAGAGUGGAAUUCCCGGUGGAGCGGUGAAAUGCGUAGAUAUCGGGAAGAACACCGUUGGCGAAGGCGGCUCUCUGGACCGCAACUGACACUGAGGUGCGAAAGCUAGGGGAGCAAACGGGAUUAGAUACCCCGGUAGUCCUAGCCGUAAACGAUGGGCACUAGGUGUAGAGGGUGCCGACCUCCUCUGUGCCGAAGCUAACGCAUUAAGUGCCCCGCCUGGGGAGUAUGGUCGCAAGGCUGAAACUCAAAGGAAUUGACGGGGGCCCGCACAAGCGGUGGAGCAUGUGGUUUAAUUCGACGCAACGCGAAGAACCUUACCUGGGCUUGACAUGUAUCUAAAAGGGUAUAGAAAUAUACCCCUCCCUUCGGGGUAGAUACACAGGUGCUGCAUGGCUGUCGUCAGCUCGUGUCGUGAGAUGUUGGGUUAAGUCCUGCAACGAGCGCAACCCUUACUCUUAGUUGCCAGCGGGUUAUGCCGGGAACUCUAAGGGAACUGCCGGUUAUAAACCGGAGGAAGGAGGGGAUGACGUCAAGUCCUCAUGGCCUUUAUGUCCAGGGCUACACACGUGCUACAAUGGCCUGUACAAAGGGUAGCAAACCCGCGAGGGGAAGCCAAUCCCAAAAAGCAGGUCUCAGUUCGGAUUGGAGUCUGCAACUCGACUCCAUGAAGGCGGAAUCGCUAGUAAUCGUGGAUCAGCACGCCACGGUGAAUACGUUCCCGGGCCUUGUACACACCGCCCGUCACACCACGAAAGUCAAUUGUACCCGAAGUCGCUGAGCUAACCCUUUACCGGGAAGUAAGUGCCGAAGGUAUGGUUGGCAAUUGGGGUGAAGUCGUAACAAGGUAGCCGUAGGGGAACCUGCGGCUGGAUCACCUCCUUUCUAAGGAG